rnacentral:rRNA from 1 species
CGUGCGGUUCUAUUUUGUUGGUUUCUAGGAUCGCCGUAAUGAUUAAUAGGGAUAGUUGGGGGCAUUCGUAUUCAAUUGCUAGAGGUGAAAUUCUUGGAUUUAUUGAAGACGAACUACUGCGAAAGCAUUUGCCAAGGAUGUUUUCAUUGAUCAAGAACGAAGGUUAGGGGAUCGAAAACGAUCAGAUACCGUUGUAGUCUUAACAGUAAACGAUGCCGACUAGGGAUCGGACGAGGAUUUUUAAUGACUCGUUCGGCACCUGAAGAGAAAUCUUUAAGUCAUGGUUCGGGGGGGAGUAUGGUCGCAAGGCUGAAACUUAAAGGAAUUGACGGAAGGGCACCACCAUGGUGUGGAGCCUGCGGCUUAAUUUGACUCAACACGGGGAAACUC